UACGUAGGGGGCAAGCGUUGUCCGGAAUCAUUGGGCGUAAAGAGCGCGUAGGCGGCCUUGUAAGUCCGCUGUGAAAGUCAAGGGCUCAACCCUUGAAUGCCGGUGGAUACUGCAGGGCUAGAGUCCGGAAGAGGCGAGUGGAAUUCCUGGUGUAGCGGUGAAAUGCGCAGAUAUCAGGAGGAACACCGAUGGCGAAGGCAGCUCGCUGGGACGGUACUGACGCUGAGGCGCGAAAGCGUGGGGAGCAAACAGG
rnacentral:rRNA from 1 species